rnacentral:rRNA from 1 species
GACGAACGCUGGCGGCGUGCUUAACACAUGCAAGUCGUACGGUAAGGCCCUUUCGGGGGUACACGAGUGGCGCACGGGUGAGUAACACGUGAGUAACCUGCCCACAACUUUGGGAUAACGCUAGGAAACUGGUGCUAAUACUGGAUAUGUGCUCCUGCUGCAUGGUGGGGGUUGGAAAGCUCCGGCUGUGGAUGGACUCGCGGCCUAUCAGCUUGUUGGUGGGGUAGUGGCCUACCAAGGCGGCGACGGGUAGCCGGCCUGAGAGGGUGACCGGCCACAUUGGGACUGAGAUACGGCCCAGACUCCUACGGGAGGCAGCAGUGGGGAAUAUUGCACAAUGGGCGCAAGCCUGAUGCAGCAACGCCGCGUGCGGGAUGACGGCCUUCGGGUUGUAAACCGCUUUCAGCAGGGACGAAGCUUUUUGUGACGGUACCUGCAGAAGAAGCACCGGCUAACUACGUG